UCGAGCGGACAGAUGGGAGCUUGCUCCCUGAUGUUAGCGGCGGACGGGUGAGUAACACGUGGGUAACCUGCCUGUAAGACUGGGAUAACUCCGGGAAACCGGGGCUAAUACCGGAUGGUUGUUUGAACCGCAUGGUUCAGACAUAAAAGGUGGCUUCGGCUACCACUUACAGAUGGACCCGCGGCGCAUUAGCUAGUUGGUGAGGUAACGGCUCACCAAGGCAACGAUGCGUAGCCGACCUGAGAGGGUGAUCGGCCACACUGGGACUGAGACACGGCCCAGACUCCUACGGGAGGCAGCAGUAGGGAAUCUUCCGCAAUGGACGAAAGUCUGACGGAGCAACGCCGCGUGAGUGAUGAAGGUUUUCGGAUCGUAAAGCUCUGUUGUUAGGGAAGAACAAGUGCCGUUCAAAUAGGGCGGCACCUUGACGGUACCUAACCAGAAAGCCACGGCUAACUACGUGCCAGCAGCCGCGGUAAUACGUAGGUGGCAAGCGUUGUCCGGAAUUAUUGGGCGUAAAGGGCUCGCAGGCGGUUUCUUAAGUCUGAUGUGAAAGCCCCCGGCUCAACCGGGGAGGGUCAUUGGAAACUGGGGAACUUGAGUGCAGAAGAGGAGAGUGGAAUUCCACGUGUAGCGGUGAAAUGCGUAGAGAUGUGGAGGAACACCAGUGGCGAAGGCGACUCUCUGGUCUGUAACUGACGCUGAGGAGCGAAAGCGUGGGGAGCGAACAGGAUUAGAUACCCUGGUAGUCCACGCCGUAACGAUGAGUGCUAAGUGUUAUGGGGUUUCCGCCCCUUAGUGCUGCAGCUAACGCAUUAAGCACUCCGCCUGGGGGAGUACGGUCGCAAGACUGAAACUCAAGGAAUUGACGGGGGCCCGCACAAGCGG
rnacentral:rRNA from 1 species